AGGAGGACUCACUGUCCUUGUGGCAGUGAGUCUGGAAGGUAGACCAGCCCCGAGCCUGGCGCCUUGAGUCUGAAGAGCAUAGAUGUGAUUUAUAAGACAGACUGGGAGCCUUCCCAGGGGGGUGGGACAGGCCCCUCACCCAGUGCCUCAGACCCCUGACUUCAGCCCGAGGUUCAUACCGUCCCAGCCCCAAAUCAUGGAGACCCCAGGACUGGCCUAGCACCCCUACUGCGUCCUCAGCUGUCCCCAGUGAGCGCCCCUAGUGGGCAGAGCCCCCGGGGUCCCCUCUGUCCCACAACCUGUUGGCCACGCAUCUUCAUCACAACCAGCCCUGCCUGCUGCCACCAGACUCAGGACCCACCACCCAGGCCCCAUCCCUCUGGGCCAUGAGGGCUGGCGGCCCACCUGGCCCCCGGCUGUCACUUACAGAUGGACGUCUGGGUUCUGUCUCCCCUUCCGUCUGUCCACUCUCUCGUAGAGCCUCCUGUUCCCACAGCUGCUCCCCCUUCCUCACCACCCUCCUCUCUGCAGACAGCUUGGUUGGGCUGGAGAACAAGCCGUGCUCCCAUUUUGUGGAUGGGAGGCCCCAGACCCUGAGGACUGACACUGUCUCCUGGGGCCCCACUGCUCACAGAGCUCCCCAAGCGCCUGGCCCGUGUGGCUCUCGGCGGGAGCCGGCGUGGCCUCUGUCCCCACUCCGCUGUGCCCUGCGUGCUCCAGCAGCCCCUAAGGGACAAGAGCACACCCAGCAGUCACAAGCCAGGCCUGGUGCUGAGAACUGUACCCGGACCAGGGCUCUCUGUACGGAGGGGGCACCGAGGCAGUGCAAAGCAGCAAGGAAUAGACCUGGCACUCCACCCACGGCCCACCCUCCAUCCAUCCGUGGAUAUUUACUGCUUGUCUAACGUGCCAGGCCCUGGGGAAGAGGAGAGAGCUGAGGUUCCUGCCUCUGCAGCACUCACUGCCUGGUGGGGACGGACAAUGGAGAGGAGUUACGCUAUAGACAGAAAAUGUCACGUUGUACCCUGUGCUGGGAAAGGACACAGCUUCCACACCUUCUCCUCAAGCCUGAGCCAGACCGAGAGCCAGCCGCCUCCAGGGUCAGAUCUGUGCACUGGGAAGAGUUCCUGGGUCUUGGCAACACAGACCACACCCAUCCUAGGCCACCUGAGGGUCCAGGGCAGCUCCUCCCCGGGGAGGCCCCCAGCUUCCCGCAGACAAGAGCCUCUGUCCUGCUGACCCCGGGUCAGGGCAGGGGCAGCGUGCUGGCACAAAGGCUGGGCUCUGCCUGUGCCUCAGGCGGGGGCAGCUGCCCGUGGAGGACCCUCCUGCCACAAUGAGGCCUUUGAGCAGCUGCCAGCAGGAGCUGAGCUCUCCUUGAAGGCCCCCGGCUCUCACAAGCCCUGUCUGUCUGUGAGGCCACCGGGCCAGGCAGGCAGCUGCCGUGGGGGCAGGGCCCACGCCCACCCUGCUGCUGGGCACACCGCCUCCCCAGCCUCCUCUCACCCAGAGGAUGCCUGGCCAGGGCAGGCUGCAGGCCUGAGAGCCCGGUUGGGCCUCAGGGGGUACAGGGGAGGGCUUGCCCACAUCCCUGCCCUGAAGUGACAGUUCCAGGCCUAGCACACAGAACAUGGGAAAAGCCCCUAUCCCUCCCACCCAGGGCUCUCAGGAAGUCACUGCGGGGCUGGGGCUCUGCCUCCAGGCUUCCCUUCCUCUCUUAGCCUCAGUUUUCUCAUCUGUAGAAUGGAGCCUCCAAGUACAUUCCCCACCUCCACCCCCAGAGCAUCUGUGAGAAUCAGAUGAUUCCUGCAUUUAAUUCUCUACCUGGUGCCAGGCAGGCGUGAGGACUCAGGGACUGUCGACCGAAUCAUGACCCCAUCACUACUCCUACCUGGGACCUGGCUUCAAUCCCAGCUCAGCCUGGGUGACCUUGGCCUGGCGACUGAACCUCCCUGCGUCUUUGGCUUCUCCUUUAUAAAAUGGGCUAAUGCGGGAAUUCCCCAGCGGUCCAGCGGUCAGGACUCUUGUGCUUUCACUGCUGAGGGCCCGGGUUCAAUCCUCGGUUGGGGAACUAAGAUCCCACAAGCUCUGCGGCACGGUCAAAAAAAAAAAUUUUUUUUUUAAUAAAAUUAAAUGGGCUAAUGCCAUCCCCUCCCAAGGCUGCUGUAAAGAGAAAGCCAUUUAUCAACACGCCUCAGGCUCAGGAAGCCUUGGUUGGAUGAAUUAAUGGAUCCCAGAUUCGACUCCAGAGAUAAGCAGCACCUUGCAGGGGCCUGGGGAGGGGAAGGAGCAGUGAAGGUGGGUGGAGGUGGGGCAGAUGUGUAAGCGCAGCCACCUACCCCAUCACAGGGAGGCCGGCCAAGUGCUCCAGGGAUGAGAGGCAGGAAGGGCUGGUUCCUGCAGUCGGUCAGGGACGGCUUCACGCAGGAGGCAGCCGUCACCCGAUGUGGGGAUUGAGGGUGGCCUUCUGGACACAAGGAGCA